AAAAAUCAUCCACUUUAGUUGCUGCCUCCACUCCUGAUGACCGCCCUAUCACGCCAUCUUAAAACGUGAAGAGCGAGCUUCAUGUUCCAGCCUCGUAUAUGUGGCGAUCAGGCAAAUAAACUCCAUCUUAUUUUGUCGUAUCAACGCCAACCCUACCCUGUAAAGAAAGAUCCCAAUUGUCAGGCUGACAGAGAAUUUGGGAGUAUGUACAUCAACUGUGACAUCCUUCCUCCUCGCAAUAUAAAGGAAGGUACUGCAAAAAAGGUCUGCCCUUUCCACUGCAUAAUUGAAAGAAAUGGUAUCCUGAGAAAUUUCAACAAAAGCUCCUC